GCAGCAGCCGCGGUAAUACAGAGGGUGCGAGCGUUAAUCGGAUUUACUGGGCGUAAAGCGUGCGUAGGCGGCUUCUUAAGUCGGAUGUGAAAUCCCUGAGCUUAACUUAGGAAUUGCAUUCGAUACUGGGAAGCUAGAGUAUGGGAGAGGAUGGUAGAAUUCCAGGUGUAGCGGUGAAAUGCGUAGAGAUCUGGAGGAAUACCGAUGGCGAAGGCAGCCAUCUGGACAAAGACUGACGCUCAGGUGCGAAAGCGUGGGGAGCAAACAGGAUUAGAUACCCCAGUAGUCCCUGUCUCUUAUAC
rnacentral:rRNA from 1 species